AUAACAGGCUUAUCUCCCCCAAGAGUCCACAUCGACGGGGAGGUUUGGCACCUCGAUGUCGGCUCAUCGCAUCCUGGGGCUGUAGUCGGUCCCAAGGGUUGGGCUGUUCGCCCAUUAAAGCGGUACGCGAGCUGGGUUCAGAACGUCGUGAGACAGUUCGGUCCCUAUCCGUCGUGGGCGCAGGAAAUUUGAGAGGAGCUGUCCUUAGUACGAGAGGACCGGGAUGGACGCACCGCUGGUGUACCAGUUGUCUUGCCAAAGGCAUCGCUGGGUAGCUAUGUGCGGACGGGAUAAGUGCUGAAAGCAUCUAAGCAUGAAGCCCCCCUCAAGAUGAGAUUUCCCAUAGCGUCAAGCUAGUAAGAUCCCUGAAAGAUGAUCAGGUUGAUAGGUCAGAGGUGGAAGCGCGGUGACGUGUGGAGCUGACUGAUACUAAUCGAUCGAGGACUUAACCAA
rnacentral:ncRNA from 1 species